CCUCUGGAGAGAUCCGUUAAAUCGGACGCCGAAGGAGCAACUUAACGCAUGUAUACCAUGGUUAGGGAAACUCUCAGGCAAAAGGACAGAGG
rnacentral:ncRNA from 1 species